rnacentral:rRNA from 1 species
GACGGAGGGUGCAAGCGUUAUCCGGAAUGAUUGGGCGUAAAGCGUCUGCAGGUGGCAGUUCAAGUCUGCUGUCAAAGACCGGGGCUUAACUUCGGAAAGGCAGUGGAAACUGAACAGCUAGAGUAUGGUAGGGGCAGAGGGAAUUCCUGGUGUAGCGGUGAAAUGCGUAGAGAUCAGGAAGAACACCGGUGGCGAAGGCGCUCUGCUGGGCCAUAACUGACACUGAUGGACGAAAGCUAGGGGAGCGAAAGGG